CUUAUCUGCAGUUUGGCUUACCCACCAUCCAAAAAAAUUAAAUGGAAAAUUCUAGAAAUAAACAAUUCAUAAGUUUUUAGUCAUGCACCGUUCUGAGUGGCCUGGGGAAAUCUCCUGCGCUCCUGCUCCACCUCGCCUUGGAUACAAAUCCUUCUUUUGUCCAGCAUAUCCACACUUUCUACCCACCCAUCUGUUAGUAACUUCAUAGCCGGCUCAAUUACCAGGUGGACUGCUGUGGUAUUGCAGUGCUUAUGUUCAAGUAACCCUUCUUUUACUUCAUCAUGGCCUCAAAGCACGAGAGUAGUGAUGCUGACAAUUUGGAUAUACCAAAGAGAAGCUGUAAAAUGCUUCCUUUCAGUGAAAAAGUGAAAGUUCUACAUUUAAUAAGAUGUCUUCUACGAACAUUUGUUUCCCAAACCAGAGAAACCCUUAUUCACUCAUUAACCAUUGGGAUUUUUGUUCAAAGGCCCAUGAAUUAUUGCUACUUUAAAUUUGCAAGCAAAUUUAUAAUUGGAUCCUGAUGUCCCAGCACCCAUAAAUAUUUUAUAAUAAUUGUACAAACAACACUUACAUUAAGGACAUGAACGAUUAAAAUAGGGAGACCCCCAUCUCUACCAAAAAAUAGGAAGAAGAAGAAGAAGAAGAAGAAGAAGAAGAAGAAGAAGAAGAAGAAGAAGAAGAGGAAGAACAAGGAAGAGGAGGA
rnacentral:lncRNA from 1 species